rnacentral:lncRNA from 10 species
AGAGAACUAGAGGCUGCAGCGGCAGCAGUUGGAGCAUCUCACUGCGGGGCUCGGGAAGGAGGAAAGGAGUGAGCAUGUCCUGCUCCUGCAUGUCCCUGCUUAAGCUCAGGACUGGCCCUUCCAGGCCAAGGACCCCAGCAUAGACCCCAGGACAGGGCCCCAAGGAUCCCUGGCUCAUGAGAGCGGCUUGCUGGGCUGCCCCAAGAGAGCCUGAAGGAAACACAUUGUUGAGCUGAGCUGACGUCGCUGUUUCUUCCAGACUGCUCUCUAAAGUGGGCAGGGUAGCGACCGGCCGGCUCCGAUGGUGACGUCCCACUGCCAAGGGGUGGGAGUGGGGAGAGUCUCCACAGAGCUUCGGAGAAGCUGCUAAGAUGGAAAAGUGGAAACUUGGCAGACAGAUCCAGCCUCCCUGGCCACUGGCCCAUGCUCGUGGCUCCUGGAUGGCGCUGCCACGUUCUGAGCAGCUUGGGACAGGUGGAGAUCAGGACUGGCAGCUGCAAGGACACACCAGAGCCACAGAAACUAAAGAGAAUUUCCAAAAGGAGUCUAUGGUGAAGUCUCUGAGGAUGCAAAGAAGACAAGGAGAAUGAAAAUCCAAUGAAAGCCUGAUUGUAUUUGUUGACCUUAAGGAAAGUGAUUUUAUGGUACAGCCUCUCUGGAAGGGAGGGUGUGUUCGCUCACAGAAUGCAAAUACCCUUUGACCCCCUAAUCUUUCUUCUAGGAGUUUCUCCUACAGAUAAACUUAGAAGGGUGCUCAAAUAAGUAAGUUCAAGGAUAUCCUCUGAAGCAUUGCCGUAGUAUAAAAAAAGCACAGAUACCCUCAAAGGACAUCAUUAGGGGCCUGGUAAAAUAAAUUCCACACAGUGGAACACCGUGUAGCUCUUUAGAGAAUAAACAGCUCUCUAUAUGUGAUCUGGAA